rnacentral:rRNA from 1 species
UUAUACCGUGGAAACUGCGAAUGGCUCAUUAAAUCAGUUAUCGUUUAUUUGAUAGUACCUUACUACUUGGAUAACCGUGGUAAUUCUAGAGCUAAUACAUGCUAAAAACCCCAACUUCGGGAGGGGUGUAUUUAUUAGAUAAAAAACCAAUGCCCUCCGGGGCUCUUUGGUGAUUCAUGAUAACUUAACGGAUCGCAUGGCCUUGCGCCGGCGACGGUUCAUUCAAAUUUCUGCCCUAUCAACUUUCGAUGGUAAGGUAUUGGCUUACCAUGGUUUCAACGGGUAACGGGGAAUUAGGGUUCGAUUCCGGAGAGGGAGCCUGAGAAACGGCUACCACAUCCAAGGAAGGCAGCAGGCGCGCAAAUUACCCAAUCCCGACACGGGGAGGUAGUGACAAUAAAUACUGAUACAGGGCUCUUUUGGGUCUUGUAAUUGGAAUGAGUACAAUUUAAACCCCUUAACGAGGAACAAUUGGAGGGCAAGUCUGGUGCCAGCAGCCGCGGUAAUUCCAGCUCCAAUAGCGUAUAUUAAAGUUGUUGCAGUUAAAAAGCUCGUAGUUGAAACUUGGGCCUGGCUGUCUGGUCCGCCUCACCGCGUGUACUGGUUCGGCCGGGCCUUUCCUUCUGGAGAACCUCAUGCCCUUCACUGGGUGUGGUGGGGAACCAGGACUUUUACUUUGAAAAAAUUAGAGUGUUCAAAGCAGGCCUUUGCUCGAAUACGUUAGCAUGGAAUAAUAGAAUAGGACGUGCGAUCCUAUUUUGUUGGUUUCUAGGACCGCCGUAAUGAUUAAUAGGGAUAGUCGGGGGCAUCAGUAUUCAAUUGUCAGAGGUGAAAUUCUUGGAUUUAUUGAAGACUAACUACUGCGAAAGCAUUUGCCAAGGAUGUUUUCAUUAAUCAGUGAACGAAAGUUAGGGGAUCGAAGACGAUCAGAUACCGUCGUAGUCUUAACCGUAAACUAUGCCGACUAGGGAUCGGGCGAUGUUAUUAUUUUGACUCGCUCGGCACCUUACGAGAAAUCAAAGUUUUUGGGUUCUGGGGGGAGUAUGGUCGCAAGGCUGAAACUUA